rnacentral:rRNA from 1 species
UACAGAGGUCUCAAGCGUUGUUCGGAUUCAUUGGGCGUAAAGGGUGCGUAGGCGGCGCGGUAAGUCGGGGUGUGAAAUCUCGGAGCUUAACUCCGAAACUGCAGUGGAUACGGGCAGACUAGAGGUAGGUAGGGGAGAAUGGAAUUCCCGGUGUAGCGGUGAAAUGCGCAGAUAUCAGGAGGAACACCGGUGGCGAAGGCGGGUCUCUGGGCAAUAACUGACGCUGAGGAGCGAAAGCGUGGGGAGCGAACAGG